rnacentral:rRNA from 1 species
UACAGAGGUCUCAAGCGUUGUUCGGAUUCAUUGGGCGUAAAGGGUGCGUAGGUGGCGCUGUAAGUCAGGUGUGAAAUUUCGGAGCUUAACUCCGAAACUGCAUUUGAUACUGCGGUGCUUGAGGACUGGAGAGGAGACUGGAAUUUACGGUGUAGCAGUGAAAUGCGUAGAGAUCGUAAGGAAGACCAGUGGCGAAGGCGGGGUCUCUGGACAGUUCCUGACACUGAGGCACGAAGGCCAGGGGAGCAAACGGG